rnacentral:rRNA from 1 species
AGCAGCCGCGGUAAUUCCAGCUCCAAUAGCGUAUAUUAAAGUUGUUGCAGUUAAAAAGCUCGUAGUUGAAUUUCGGGGUUAGUAGGUUGGUCGUGCCACUGGUACGUACUGGUCUCACUGAUUCCUCCUUCCUGAUGAACUGUAAUGCCAUUAAUUUGGUGUUGCAGGGAAACUGGACUGUUACUUUGAAAAAAUUAGAGUGUUUAAAGCAAGCUAACGCUUGAAUACAUUAGCAUGGAAUAAUGAAAUAGGACGUUCGAUCCUAUUUUGUUGGUUUCUAGGAUUAACGUAAUGAUUAAUAGGGAUAGUUGGGGGCAUUAGUAUUCAAUUGUCAGAGGUGAAAUUCUUGGAUUUAUUGAAGACUAACUACUGCGAAAGCAUUUGCCAAGGAUGUUUUCAUUAAUCAAGAACGAAAGUUAGGGGAUCGAAGACGAUCAGAUACCGUCGUAGUCUUAACCAUAAACUAUGCCGACUAGGGAUCGGAUGAUGUUAAUUUUUUAAUGACUCAUUCGGCGCCUUA